rnacentral:rRNA from 1 species
UGGGGAAUAUUGGGCAAUGGGCGCAAGCCUGACCCAGCAACGCCGCGUGAAGGAAGAAGGCCCUCGGGUUGUAAACUUCUUUUAUCAGGGACGAAACAAAUGACGGUACCUGAUGAAUAAGCCACGGCUAACUACGUGCCAGCAGCCGCGGUAAUACGUAGGUGGCAAGCGUUAUCCGGAUUUACUGGGUGUAAAGGGAGCGUAGGUGGCAUGGCAAGCCAGAAGUGAAAACCCGGGGCUUAACUCCGUGGAUUAGCUUUUGGGAACUGUCAGGCUGGAGUGCAGGAGGGGCAGGCGGAAUUCCUGGUGUAGCGGUGAAAUGCGUAGAUAUCAGGAGGAACACCGGUGGCGAAGGCGGCCUGCUGGACUGUAACUGACACUGAGGCUCGAAAGCGUGGGGUAGCAAACAGGAUUAGAUACCC